CUCAGGACGAACGCUGGCGGCGUGCCUAACACAUGCAAGUCGAGCGGAGACAGUGAGUAGCUUGCUAUGAGCUGUUUUAGCGGCGGACGGGUGAGUAACGCGUGAGCAACCUUUCCCAGACAGGGGAAUAACACACCGAAAGGUGUACUAAUACCGCAUAAGACCACGGGAUCACAUGGUUCUGGGGUAAAAGAUUUAUCGGUUUGGGGUGGGCUCGCGUCCGAUUAGGUAGUUGGUGAGGUAACGGCCCACCAAGCCGACGAUCGGUAGCCGACCUGAGAGGGUGAUCGGCCACAUUGGGACUGAGACACGGCCCAAACUCCUACGGGAGGCAGCAGUGGGGAAUAUUGGGCAAUGGAGGAAACUCUGACCCAGCAACGCCGCGUGGAGGAAGAAGGUUUUCGGAUCGUAAACUCCUGUCCUUGGAGACGAGUAGAAGACGGUAUCCAAGGAGGAAGCCCCGGCUAACUACGUG
rnacentral:rRNA from 1 species